rnacentral:hammerhead_ribozyme from 1 species
AUUCAACUGAUGAGUCCUAGAUAGAAAGAAACGUGCGUCCUGGAU